rnacentral:rRNA from 1 species
ACUCCUACGGGAGGCAGCAGUGGGGAAUUUUGGACAAUGGGGGAAACCCUGAUCCAGCAAUGCCGCGUGUGUGAAGAAGGCCUUCGGGUUGUAAAGCACUUUUGUCCGGAAAGAAAUCUGUCGGGCUAAUACCCUGAUGGGAUGACGGUACCGGAAGAAUAAGCACCGGCUAACUACGUGCCAGCAGCCGCGGUAAUAC